AGUCACUGACAUUAGAUACCCCCUGUAGUCCAGGGUGUAAACGCUGCAGACUUGGUGUUGGAAGUCCUUUGGGGGCAUUCAGUGCCGGAGAGAAGUUGUUAAGUCUGCUACUUGGGGAGUACGUCCGCAAGGAUGAAACUUAAAGGAAUUGGCGGGGGAGCACCGCAACGGGAGGAGCGUGCGGUUUAAUUGGAUUCAACACCGUAAAACUCACCAGGGAAGACUGUUACAUGAAGGCCGAGAUGAAGACUCUGCUAGAUUUUCAG
rnacentral:rRNA from 1 species